AGAGUUUGAUCCUGGCUCAGAACGAACGCUGGCGGCAGGCCUCAAACAUGCAAGUCUAGGGGGUGUAGCAAUACAUCACCGGCGGACGGGUGCGUAACACGUGGGAAUAUACCUUUUGGUUCGGAACAACGCAGGGAAACUUGCGCUAAUACCGAAUGUGCCCUUACGGGGAAAGAUUUAUCGCCAAAGGAUUAGCCCGCGUCCGAUUAGCUAGUUGGUGAGGUAAUGGCUCACCAAGGCUCCGAUCGGUAGCUGUUCUGAGAGGAAGAUCAGCCACACUGGGACUGAGACACGGCCCAGACUCCUACGGGAGGCAGCAGUUGGGAAUCUUGGACAAUGGGGGAAACCCUGAUCCAGCCAUGCCGCGUGAGUGAUGAAGGCCUUCGGGUUGUAAAACUCUUUCGACGGGGACGAUAAUGACGGUACCCGUAGAAGAAGCUCCGGCUAACUUCGUGCCAGCAGCCGCGGUAAUACGAAGGGGGCUAGCGUUGUUCGGAAUUACUGGGCGUAAAGCGCGCGCAGGCGGUCUUUCAAGUCAGUGGUGAAAGCCCGGAGCUCAACUCCGGAAAUGCCAUUGAAACUGUAAGACUUGAGGAUGAGAGAGGUGAGUGGAAUUCCCAGUGUAGAGGUGAAAUUCGUAGAUAUUGGGAAGAACACCGGUGGCGAAGGCGGCUCACUGGCUCAUAUCUGACGCUCAGGCGCGACAGCGUGGGGAUCAAACAGGAUUAGAUACCCUAGUAGUCC
rnacentral:rRNA from 1 species